rnacentral:misc_RNA from 1 species
UGUUUGUCGGCGUUUCAAUUUUUUAGCAGGUGAAUCAGUUCACUUGUUUUCGUUCUUGGUGGCUGCUGUCUAGGUGAAACAGGCUACAGAGGUUGUUAGUGCGUUCAACUUUAGUAUUCCGUUACUGUAUACAAUUAUGUUCAAUUAUAAUUAUUGAAUACCUACAUGAUUUUUAAGUAUUUAAAUCGGACAUUUUUAAUGUUUUUCGUUGCUGUGAAGUAUAAAAAGUAUAUUAUUUAAUAUUAAUAUAUUUCAGAAAAACAUCAAUAUUUAAUGCCCNUGUCAGAAGUUAUCUAACAUUUGAUUUCGUUACAAACACCGUGUUUAUAUUGGAUGUCUACAGUCAUGGAUACUUUGAAUAUUGCUUGUAUCGUAUUUACACCUAUUUAUAAAAUGUGUACAAACGGUACCGCGGAAAAAUAAUCACAGAAAUUUGGUCCCCGGAAAUAACCCAGUGAAAAAAUUACCAUGGAAAGAUACCUAAUCCCAUAUUACAUCUUGCAAAAUUAUAAUG